rnacentral:rRNA from 1 species
UCCGACAAUUAAUGGUUAGUGAGGCCUUCUGACUGGCGCCGCUACUCUGGCAACAGAGCGGCGGAUGCCGGGAAGUUGGUCAAACUUGAUCAUUUAGAGGAAGUAAAAGUCGUAACAAGGUUUCCGUAGGUGAACCUGCGGAAGGAUCAUUACCGAUCGAGGCAUCCAAAACCUGUCAUGGGUUUUCAGUGUGAAUUGUCAAUUUCAUUUUUUAGGGGCCGGCAAAAUGCCGUUAAAGGGGGGGGGGGCGGGGGCAACCCACACGGCCGCCCGUCACCCCCGCCUUGUUUUUUGCCUUCAACUGUUACGGUUUGAAUUGAAGUGGAUACUGAAAAAAAGAAAGACACCUUUGGACGGUGGAUCUCUGGGCUCACGUAUCGUGAAAAACCGCACCCGGCUGCGAUAAGUAUGGUGAAUUGCAAAUUUCAUGGAAUCAUUGAUCUUUGGACGCCAAUGGGGCUCUUUGGGUCUCCCCAGGAGCAUGUCUGUCUGAGUGUCGGGAUAUCUUUACGAAGCGAUCGUGCAUCGAUUUGCUGGAUAUUGAGGUGUCACGGGAGAGUGCGAACCAACUCAAGGCCGUGUCCCCUCGGAAAGAAGGCAGCUGCGGAAGCCGCACGCGCUAUUAUUUUCUGUUAAUAGCGAGUGACCUCUAUGAAAAAGUCAUGGGUUUCAGUGCGUAGGCUAAAAUGCGAAAUUUCUUCCGUGCUACCAUGAUGUAGAGGUUGUUGUGUCCCAGGUUUUGUUCAUGUUUUUGAACCACCAUAAUCUUGACCUUCAGAUCAGGCAAGGCUACCCGCUGAUUUCAGGCAUAUUAAUAGGCGGAGGAAAAGGAACCUAACCAGGAUUCCCUCAGUUACAGCGAGUGAAGCGGGACAGCUCAAUUUUGAAAUCUCGACGCUUGCGUCGGCGAGUGUAGUUGCGAGAGCACUUUCUAGCGAUCGUUGGUGCUUAAGUUGCUGAACAGUACGUCAUAGAGGGUGACACCCGUCUGUGCACGACCGCCGCUCACGAUGUGCUUUCGAGAGUCGAUGCUUGGGACUGCCGCCAAAGGCACCGAACU